UACGUAGGUGACAAGCGUUUGUCCGGAUUUACUGGGCGUAAAGAGCGCGCAGGCGGUCGAUCAAGUCGAGUGUGAAAGCCCCCGGCUCAACUGGGGAGGGUCAUUCGAAACUGGUCGACUCGAAGGCAGGAGAGGGUAGUGGAAUUCCCGGUGUAGUGGUGAAAUGCGUAGAUAUCGGGAGGAACACCAGUGGCGAAGGCGACUACCUGGCCUGUUCUUGACGCUGAGGCGCGAAAGCUAGGGGAGCAAACGGG
rnacentral:rRNA from 1 species